rnacentral:rRNA from 1 species
GACGGGGGAUGCGAGCGUUAUCCGGAAUGAUUGGGCGUAAAGGGUCCGCAGGUGGCCCGGUCAGUCCGCUGUCAAAGCCUGGGGCUCAACCCUGGAGAGGCGGCGGAGACCACCGGGCUUGAGUCCGGUAGGGGCAGAGGGAAUUCCCGGUGUAGUGGUGGAAUGCGUAGAUAUCGGGAGGAACACCAGUGGCGAAGGCGGUUGCCUGGAGCUUUGCUGACGCUGAUGCGCGAAAGCGUGGGGAGCGAUCCGG